UAGGGAAUCUUCGGCAAUGGACGGAAGUCUGACCGAGCAACGCCGCGUGAGUGAAGAAGGUUUUCGGAUCGUAAAGCUCUGUUGUAAGAGAAGAACGAGUGUGAGAGUGGAAAGUUCACACUGUGACGGUAUCUUACCAGAAAGGGACGGCUAACUACGUGCCAGCAGCCGCGGUAAUACGUAGGUCCCGAGCGUUGUCCGGAUUUAUUGGGCGUAAAGCGAGCGCAGGCGGUUAGAUAAGUCUGAAGUUAAAGGCUGUGGCUUAACCAUAGUACGCUUUGGAAACUGUUUAACUUGAGUGCAAGAGGGGAGAGUGGAAUUCCAUGUGUAGCGGUGAAAUGCGUAGAUAUAUGGAGGAACACCGGUGGCGAAAGCGGCUCUCUGGCUUGUAACUGACGCUGAGGCUCGAAAGCGUGGGGAGCAAACAGGAUUAGAUACCCUGGUAGUCCACGCCGUAAACGAUGAGUGCUAGGUGUUAGACCCUUUCCGGGGUUUAGUGCCACAGCUAACGCAUUAAGCACUCCGCCUGGGGAGUACGACCGCAAGGUUG
rnacentral:rRNA from 1 species